AGGACGAACGCUGGCGGCGUGCUUAACACAUGCAAGUCGAACGGUGACCCUCGGAGCUUGCUUCGGGGUGAUCAGUGGCGAACGGGUGAGUAACACGUGAGUAACCUGCCCCAGACUCUGGGAUAACCCCGGGAAACCGGAGCUAAUACCGGAUACGACACGGAGAGGCAUCUCUACCGUGUGGAAAGUUUUUCGGUCUGGGAUGGACUCGCGGCCUAUCAGCUUGUUGGUGAGGUAAUGGCUCACCAAGGCGACGACGGGUAGCCGGCCUGAGAGGGCGACCGGCCACACUGGGACUGAGACACGGCCCAGACUCCUACGGGAGGCAGCAGUGGGGAAUAUUGCACAAUGGGCGAAAGCCUGAUGCAGCGACGCCGCGUGAGGGAUGAAGGCCUUCGGGUUGUAACCUCUUCAGCAGGAGAAGCGAAAGUGACGGUACCUGCAGAAGAAGCACCGGCUAACUACGCGCCAGCAGCCGCGGU
rnacentral:rRNA from 1 species